rnacentral:rRNA from 1 species
UAAAGAUCCGUCGGAUGGGGAUAGGCUCGCGUGACAUUAGCUAGACGGCGGGGUAACGGCCCACCGUGGCGACGAUGUCUAGGGGUUCUGAGAGGAAGGUCCCCCACACUGGAACUGAGACACGGUCCAGACUCCUACGGGAGGCAGCAGUGAGGAAUAUUGGUCAAUGGCCGGAAGGCUGAACCAGCCAUGCCGCGUGAAGGUCAGUGCCCUAUGGGCGUUAAACUUCUUUUGUGCGGGAGCAAUAAUGGUCACGUGUGGCCAGACGAGAGUACCGUACGAAUAAGCAUCGGCUAACUCCGUGCCAGCAGCCGCGGUAAUACGGGGGAUGCAAGCGUUAUCCGGAUUUAUUGGGUUUAAAGGGUGCGUAGGCUGUGAGGUAAGUCAGCGGUGAAAUGCCCCCGCUCAACGGGGUGAAGUGCCAUUGAUACUGCCUUGCUGGAAUGCGGAUGCCGUGGGAGGAAUGUGUGGUGUAGCGGUGAAAUGCAUAGAUAUCACACAGAACACCGAUUGCAAAGGCAUCUCACGAAUCCGCGAUUGACGCUGAUGCACGAAAGCGUGGGUAUCAAACAGGAUUAGAUACCCUGGUAGUCCACGCUGUAAACGAUGAUGACUAACCGUCGGCGAUACACAGUCG